UGGAUUUCCGGAAAACAAAACAUUUUCUCUCAAAAUUCUUCUCCUUCUCGCGACGGUGCGCGGAGAUUUCUGCUCUUGGGCGGAAACGCAGCGGUGGCUAGGGUUGGUUUUCCGACGGCCGGCGAGCUCCCUUCUCCGCGGAUUCUUCACAAGUCCGAGUUUCUCUUGGCAAGCAGAGCGCGCGGAGCACAAAGAAGAGCCGGGAUCUUCAUCUCUCCGCAAACCCUAGAAGCUGCCGUCGGUUGUAAGUCAAGGAAAGCCUAAGACUGCAUUUCCUCCUACUGCAGAUAAAGGGAAAGAAAA